rnacentral:rRNA from 1 species
CGUGCUUACACAUGCAAGUCGAACGAGAAAGUUCCCUUCGGGGGAUGAGUAAAGUGGCGCACGGGUGUGUAACGCGUGGAUAAUCUACCCUUGAAUUCGGAAUAACAUCGCGAAAGCGGUGCUAAUACCGGAUGACGUUGUAUUUUCUGCGGGGAAUGCAACCAAAGAAUGCCUCUUCUUAGAAAGCAUUUGUUUGAGGAUGAGUCCGCGUCCCAUUAGCUAGUUGGUGGGGUAACGGCCCACCAAGGCCUUGAUGGGUAGCUGGUCUGAGAGGAUGAUCAGCCACACUGGGACUGACACACGGCCCAGACUCCUACGGGAGGCAGCAGUGAGGAAUUUUGCGCAAUGGGGGAAACCCUGACGCAGCAACGCCGCGUGAGUGAAGAAGGCCCUUGGGUCGUAAAGCUCUGUCAAUGGGGAAGAAGUUGUGUGGUUCGAAUAGGGCCAUGCAUUGACGGUACCCAUGAAGGAAGCACCGGCUAACUCCGUGCCAGCAGCCGCGGUAAUACGGAGGGUGCAAGCGUUAUUCGGAAUUAUUGGGCGUAAAGGGCGCGUAGGCGGCCUGUUAAGUCAUCUGUGAAAUUUCGGGGCUUAACCCGGAGCUGCAUGUGAUACUGGCAGGCUUGAGUAUGGC